rnacentral:rRNA from 1 species
GCAACGCGAAAAACCUUACCUACCCUUGACAUGCCAGGAACCUUGCCGAGAGGCGAGGGUGCCUUCGGGAGCCUGGACACAGGUGCUGCAUGGCUGUCGUCAGCUCGUGUCGUGAGAUGUUGGGUUAAGUCCCGCAACGAGCGCAACCCUUGUCACUAGUUGCCAUCAUUUGGUUGGGCACUCUAGUGAGACUGCCGGUGACAAACCGGAGGAAGGUGGGGAUGACGUCAAGUCCUCAUGGCCCUUAUGGGUAGGGCUUCACACGUCAUACAAUGGUCGGUACAGAGGGUUGCCAAGCCGCGAGGUGGAGCCAAUCCCUUAAAGCCGAUCGUAGUCCGGAUCGUAGUCUGCAACUCGACUACGUGAAGUCGGAAUCGCUAGUAAUCGCAGAUCAACAUGCUGCGGUGAAUACGUUCCCGGGUCUUG